GCGGCCUAUACAUGCAAGUCGAGCGGCAAGUUGAGUAGUAAUACUUGACCUAGAGCGGCGCACGGGUGCGUAACGCGUAUGCAACCUACCUUUUACUGGGGGAUAGCCCGGAGAAAUCUGGAUUAAUACCCCAUAGUAUCUAUGAACCGAUUGGUUUAUAGCUUAAAGAUUUAUCGGUAAGAGAUGGGCAUGCGUCUGAUUAGCUAGUUGGCGGGGUAACGGCCCACCAAGGCGACGAUCAGUAGGGGUUCUGAGAGGAAGGUCCCCCACACUGGCACUGAGAUACGGGCCAGACUCCUACGGGAGGCAGCAGUAGGGAAUAUUGGGCAAUGGUCGCAAGACUGACCCAGCCAUGCCGCGUGCAGGAAGACGGCCCUCUGGGUUGUAAACUGCUUUUAUCUGGGAAGAAAAAGUCCAUGCGUGGAAAAUUGCCGGUACCAGAUGAAUAAGCACCGGCUAACUCCGUGCCAGCAGCCGCGGUAAUACGGAGGGUGCAAGCGUUGUCCGGAUUUAUUGGGUUUAAAGGGUGCGUAGGCGGCUGAAUAAGUCAGCGGUGAAAGACUUCGGCUUAACCGGAGCAGUGCCGUUGAUACUGUUUAGCUUGAGUGUUGGAGGGGUACAUGGAAUUGAUGGUGUAGCGGUGAAAUGCAUAGAUACCAUCAGGAACACCGAUAGCGAAGGCAUUGUACUGGCCAACAACUGACGCUGAGGCACGAAAGUGUGGGGAUCGAACAGGAUUAGAUACCCUGGUAGUCCACACCGUAAACGAUGAUUACUCGCUGUUAUGGUGCAUUCUGUAGCGGCCAAGCGAAAGCGUUAAGUAAUCCACCUGGGGAGUACGCCGGCAACGGUGAAACUCAAAGGAAUUGACG
rnacentral:rRNA from 1 species